AUUGAACGCUGGCGGCAUGCCUUACACAUGUAAGUCGAACGGCAGCACGGGAGCAAUCCUGGUGGCGAGUGGCGAACGGGUGAGUAAUAUAUCGGAACGUGCCCAGUAGUGGGGGAUAACUGCUCGAAAGAGCAGCUAAUACCGCAUACGACCUGAGGGUGAAAGGGGGGGAUCGCAAGACCUCUCGCUAUUGGAGCGGCCGAUAUCAGAUUAGCUAGUUGGUGGGGUAAAGGCCUACCAAGGCAACGAUCUGUAGUUGGUCUGAGAGGACGACCAACCACACUGGGACUGAGACACGGCCCAGACUCCUACGGGAGGCAGCAGUGGGGAAUUUUGGACAAUGGGCGCAAGCCUGAUCCAGCAAUGCCGCGUGCAGGAAGAAGGCCUUCGGGUUGUAAACUGCUUUUGUCAGGGAAGAAAUCCUCUAGGUUAAUACCCUUGGGGGGAUGACGGUACCUGAAGAAUAAGCACCGGCUAACUACGUGCCAGCAGCCGCAGUAAAAC
rnacentral:rRNA from 1 species